rnacentral:rRNA from 1 species
GAUGAACGCUGGCGGCGUGCCUAAUACAUGCAAGUCGAGCGAACAGACGAGGAGCUUGCUCCUCUGACGUUAGCGGCGGACGGGUGAGUAACACGUGGAUAACCUACCUAUAAGACUGGGAUAACUUCGGGAAACCGGAGCUAAUACCGGAUAAUAUAUUGAACCGCAUGGUUCAAUAGUGAAAGACGGUUCUGCUGUCACUUAUAGAUGGAUCCGCGCCGCAUUAGCUAGUUGGUAAGGUAACGGCUUACCAAGGCAACGAUGCGUAGCCGACCUGAGAGGGUGAUCGGCCACACUGGAACUGAGACACGGUCCAGACUCCUACGGGAGGCAGCAGUAGGGAAUCCUCCGCAAUGGGCGAAAGCCUGACGGAGCAACGCCGCGUGAGUGAUGAAGGUCUUCGGAUCGUAAAACUCUGUUAUUAGGGAAGAACAAAUGUGUAAGUAACUAUGCACGUCUUGACGGUACCUAAUCAGAAAGCCACGGCUAACUACGUG